CCCAUCCUAUGGGUGCCGAGUGGGUGCGCGAUUUCAGUGCACCUGUGAGCCGUCCCUGCACCGCGCGCGCAUUGGGCGUUACUAACGGACAACUCCUGCCUCUGGGAUCUCAGAUACAGGGAUGCUUCGGGAAUUGUGGACCCUCUUGCCCUUUAUUGACUAAUCCCCUCGGACCCAGGCCCUGGAGAUGGUGAAGGGACCAGGAUGUGAAUCUAGGUAGCUGCAUCUGCGGUUCUAGCUAAGGACAGCGCGAAACGUGUUGGAGAAUGUGUUUCCAGCUCACCUCAGUUUAAAAAAAAACAAACCAAAACAAAAAAAAACCUAUCCGGAACGGACGCACAGACAGAGAUUCUCUGACUUGACAGCCGAGUAAUAUCGAUCUGAAAGAAAAAAAAAAAAAAAGACAAUUGGUGCACGUUAAUUUGAACCAAAUCUCCUAGGAGCCAAGACUAGAGGAUCAGAGCUCACCAAAGGAGAUCACAACACGGGGUACGAGUUCCUGAGAACCAGCUGUAAAUACGCCAGCGUAUUUAAUGUCACUUGGAACCUGCAAGUUAAGUAACUUCCAGAUCUCCUUCCCAAAUGAAGGAUCGUGGCACAGGUAUCCUUGGAUGGCCUGGAACUCAUCGCAUCGAACAGCCUGGCUUUGGACUCAUUGGCAGUCAUAUUGCCUCAGUUUCCAGACUGCUGGGAUUCUAGGCAUGUGCCACCAUGUACAGCUCUGUUCUGUAUUUUAAGACAGGGGCUCACUUUCUAACCCAGCUGAGUUGCAGCAAGCCUACCACCUGGCGUGGGUUUUCAGGUGGACAGAACCACACCCAACUUACUUUCUGAAUCUUAGGAUGUUUUGGCAUUCCCCAAAACUUGAAGGCUUUGGGGGAGACUUAUGCUUUUAGGGUAGGUCAUUGUUUGGGGCCACAAAAAAAAACCCAAAAACAAACAAAAAAAAAAAACGCUCUCUACCAGGGGCGUAGCUAUCCUGAACAAACCAACCAAUCCUGAGGCUAUGUUCCCAACAACUUUCUGAUUUAAGUCUCACACUCAAACCAGUUUUUCUCUUCCCCUAACUCACCCAGGGCCAGGUGUCAGGCAACCAGAUACCACUCCUGUACCCAAAGUCACUUAACUGUUCAUUUGCCAAUGCUGAGCAAUUUGUUGUGCCCAGGUGUGCCUUUUCCUCAGCAACGCCAGCAAAGACUUGACCUCGUACUUUCUCCACAUUCUACUUUGUUGAUGUAAGAGUCCGGGUUAUUCUGCACCUUUCCAGGUAGCCUACUGACCUUGAACUUGUGAUUCUCCUGUGACAGGCUCCUGAACACUUGAGAGCACUGUGUAUUUUCCCCAUUAACUUGUGCUCUACUAUUUAGUACGAACUGGGUAUUUCCCCUUGGCCCCACUUAGCCAUGGGCCAUUCCCUUUCUGGGUGGGAUCUGUGACUGUAGAACCAUCUUCCUUCCAAGUUUCCUUCUAUCCCCUCCUGGGGUUGUAAGAUCUUUACCAACCCACCUUCAGCUUCUGCAUCCUUCAUAAGGACAGUUGUCUCAGAAAGGGGCUGUGGGCAUAGGAAAGGUGAUAAGCCAAAAUGUCUUAACUUGCCUUGAGAAAUAGAAACUCAGAGACUAUUGGGUGUUCUCCUCUUUCCGUGGAGAUCCUCUUGGUGGGGGACUGGCAACAUGACUACAAGAGUCAGAGGUCCUGGGACCUGAUGACUUGGUCACUACCUGUCACACCAACACACCUCCUAGAGACAAAGAUGAGGGGUUAUUAAGGAUACUAAGGGCCAGAAAGAUGGCUCAGCGGGCAAACCCUGAUGAUCCAAGUUCUAUCCCUAAGACCCACAUGUUAGAACAAGUUGACUCCUCCAGGUUGUCCUCUGAUCCCCACAUGUGCACUGAGGCCUGCAUGCCUACAUACCUUCAACACUUAAAGAAAGGUCGUUAGGGCUGAGGAACAAACACAGUUGGCAGAGUGCUACCCUAAUGUGCAGGAUGCUGUGGUUUCCCUCUGCCAAACUACGGAAAGGGUGACUGGGAGCUCAGUGCUAUACUCCUGCAUGCCAGAAAAUUGGGUAGCUGAAUCAGGAGUUACUGCCUUCUCUGGGGGCAUAGUGAAUCCUCUGCCAUCCUGCAUAGCUACAUGAGACCAUGAAAUGCCAUUAAAGGCUCUCUUAGAAUUU